rnacentral:rRNA from 1 species
AUGCAGUGUACCCGCGGCAAGACGGAAAGACCCCGUGAACCUUUACUAUAGCUUGACACUGAACAUUGAGCCUUGAUGUGUAGGAUAGGUGGGAGGCUUUGAAGUGUGGACGCCAGUCUGCAUGGAGCCGACCUUGAAAUACCACCCUUUAAUGUUUGAUGUUCUAACGUUGACCCGUAAUCCGGGUUGCGGACAGUGUCUGGUGGGUAGUUUGACUGGGGCGGUCUCCUCCUAAA